ACCGCGGCCGCCGGGCCAGUAGUACAUUUUUACAGAAAAAUACAAUUAUAGGGACUAGGAGGUUGUAAAAUGUAUACAUAAAUAACUUGUUUUGGCUGUUAAGCGUAUCUUUAGGCACGUAAAAAGUAAGUAAAUCGCUCUAGAAAUCUGAAGAAUGCUUACUCGGCAAAACCAUCAGUUGGGUUUGGAGAAGAAAUUUCAACGAAGACGUCUUGUGAGAACUUGAAGACAUGAGUAGACGAAAGUGCCUGGCAAAUCCCACUGAUGUGCUUUGUGCGUCUGAACAGAAACCACUGCAGUGAGGCUUGACAUGAUUAUUCCUCAUUCAUUGCCUGCCAGCCUGCCACCCUGCCCAGCCCUCACCCAAAAACAUCACAAGAUGAAGGUGAUCAGUUGCAGCAUUUGCAUAGUAUGAAGGAGUAACGCAACCAAGUGAUCAAUGUAUUCAAAAAGAGUAGAUGAGAGUGCCUGGCAAAUCCCACUGAUGUGCUUUGUGCGUCUGAACAGAAACCACUGCAGUGAGGCUUGACAUGGUUAUCCCUCAUUCAUUGCCUGGUAAUACAGUGGAGAAACGUUGUAAGACUGUCUGCCAGCCUGCCACUCUGCCCAGCCCUCACCCAAAGCAAUCACAAGAUCAAGAAUGAGCUCCUGCUGUUGACGGACAUCCACCAGGCUGUGCAGUGACUGCUGACCAAUAAGGGUUGAAAGGACGGGUAGAGGAGUGGAGGUGGACAUGGAGCCCUUUGUGUUCGACUUCGAAAUACAAGAGGACAUGGAGGACUUCUCGAAGGACUGCCAGGCCGUACUGGCAACAUGUGCCCACCCUAACACUCACACUUUCCCUAAAGUUUUGGUAUCAAGGUCUGUGUCUGGCAGUGCAAUGAACUUGCGCACACCUAGUGGUGUUGCGGUAAGCAACCACUUGGCCAACUGAAACAAAGAUGCGAGGCGAAUUAAUUGUUAUUACCAAAAUAUUGUCAGCAUUUCAGUGCAACAGUGUUUAGAUAAGUACCUAAUAAGCUAGUUGAGCCUGUGGGUUUGUAUUCGAUUUACAACGGCUAACACUCAUAAACAAACAAACACACACCCACCCACACACACACACACACACACACACUCCCAACAUUUCCUUUGACUCUCCCACACACUCCAAAACAACUCCAGUUGAGAAAAUGUUCUUUUCUAAUCUCACCAUUACGGUCUUCCUGGAUGAUAUCAGAAUAACAGCCACUCUUGGAAAUGUGUAGUAAAUGUUUUAUUUAUGUACACGUUUAUACUUCAGUUGUUUUCAUUUAGUAUUGUGUUUGCUUUCUUAUCUUAACAAAUAAGAUGCUUCAGAGGCUGAGA